UACGGAGGGUGCGAGCGUUGUCCGGAAUCACUGGGCGUAAAGGGCGCGUAGGCGGCUGUACAAGUCAAAGGUGAAAUCCCUCGGCUCAACUGAGGAACUGCCUUUGAAACUGUACGGCUUGAGGCCGGGAGGGGGUAGCGGAAUUCCCAGUGUAGCGGUGAAAUGCGUUGAUAUCAUCAGGAACACCGGAGGCGAAGGCGGCUCACUGGGGGUUAUCUGACGCUGAGGGACGAAAGCCAGGGGAGCGAACGGG
rnacentral:rRNA from 1 species